ensembl:lncRNA
GCAGGGUAAACAGAGCAGGUGACUAUAGGCAGGGUAAACAGAGCAGGUGACUAUAGGCAGGGUAAACAGAGCAGGUGACUAUAGGUAGGGUAAACAGAGCAGGUGAGUGAAGGCAGGGUAAACAGAGCAGGUGAGUGAAGGUAGGGUAAACAGAGCAGGUGAGUGAAGGUAGGGUGACAGAGCAGGUGAGUACAGGCAGGGUAGACAGAGCAGGUGAGUGCAGGUAGGGUAGACAGAGCAGGUGAGUGCAGGUAGGGUAGACAGAGCAGGCAGGGUAGAUAGAGCAGGUGAGUGCAGGCAGGGUGGAUAGAGCAGGUGAGUGCAGGCAGGGUAGACAGAGCAGGUGAGUGCAGGCAGGGUAGACAGAGCAGGUGAGUGCAGGCAGGGUAGACAGAGCAGGUGAGUGCAGGCAGGGUAGACAGAGCAGGUAGUGAAGGCAGGGUAGACAGAGCAGGUGAGUGCAGAUAGGGUAGACAGAGCAGGUUUUUUCAGGUUCACAGUCAGAUAUAAGAAAACAUGGCUGCUAGAGGAGGGC